rnacentral:rRNA from 1 species
GACCUCCGCAAUGUGAGAAAUCGCGACGGGGGGAUCCCAAGUGCCAUUCUUAACGGGAUGGCUUUUCAUUAGUGUAAAGAGCUUUUGGAAUAAGGGCUGGGCAAGACCGGUGCCAGCCGCCGCGGUAACACCGGCAGCUCUAGUGGUAGCAGUUUUUAUUGGGCCUAAAGCGUCCGUAGCCGGUUUAAUAAGUCUCUGGUGAAAUCCUGUAGCUUAACUGUGGGAAUAGCUGGAGAUACUAUUAGACUUGAGACCGGGAGAGGUUAGAGGUACUCCCAGGGUAGAGGUGAAAUUCUGUAAUCCUGGGAGGACCGCCUGUUGCGAAGGCGUCUAACUGGAACGGUUCUGACGGUGAGGGACGAAAGUUAGGGGCGCGAACCGGAUUAGAUACCCGGGUAGUCCUAACUGUAAACGAUGCGGACUUGGUGUUGGGGUGGCUUUGAGCUGCUCCAGUGCCGAAGGGAAGCUGUUAAGUCCGCCGCCUGGGAAGUACGGUCGCAAGACUGAAACUUAAAGGAAUU